UACGUAGGGGGCAAGCGUUAUCCGGAUUUACUGGGUGUAAAGGGAGCGUAGACGGCACUGCAAGUCUGGAGUGAAAGCCCGGGGCUCAACCCCGGGACUGCUUUGGAAACUGUGGUGCUGGAGUGCAGGAGAGGUAAGUGGAAUUCCUAGUGUAGCGGUGAAAUGCGUAGAUAUUAGGAGGAACACCAGUGGCGAAGGCGGCUUACUGGACUGUAACUGACGUUGAGGCUCGAAAGCGUGGGGAGCAAACAGG
rnacentral:rRNA from 1 species